CCGAGACGGGCGGAUCACGAGGUCAGGAGAUCGAGACCAUCCUGGNCCAGGAUGGUCUCGAUCUCCUGACCUCGUGAUCCGCCCGUCUCGG
rnacentral:pre_miRNA from 1 species